rnacentral:lncRNA from 10 species
GGUUAGUCACAGUUUGUGCCCCAGUCUCUGUGUGGAGUUUAAAUGCAAACAUUGGGGUUCUCUUCCUCUAACUCUCUCAUUUCUGAUGUUCUCCUAUCACUCUCUGGAGACUCUGGUUGCCCUGUUUCUUGCCCUAUUUCUGGUAGCCAGUAAGCCAGUGGACUUUCUACCAGAGUUUGAGCUAUCCCUACACCAUGCCACUGUGACUGUGGCUCCAUUCAGGGCAAAGCUGCAAAACAAAACACACAAAAAAUGAGGCAGUCACCCUGUUCUCGUGAUUGUUUUCCCCAAGUCUUGUCUCUACUCCCAAAUCUGCUUGUCAUACUUCAGUUUCCUGAACCUGCAGAAGAAAAAAGAAAAAAAAAGCAGUCUGACAAAAGAGAAGGAUAAAGCCAAUGCACAGAGAGAAACAGGAUCAAGAAAUUGUGAAAGAAUGAUCCAGUUGCCAACAGUCUUUUACUGCUGCGUCCUGCCCUAUCUGACGUUCGGCUGCAUUAUUUUCUUUACUAUUAUAAAUCCCCAUAUUCUAAUGAGCAGUCACCUCUUUUUCCUUAAGCUGGCUUUUCUAAUUUUCAACUUUAAGAAUCCUGACUAAUCCAUACAAUUUUUCAUAUUACAGGCAUUAUAAGAAGCUUUAUGUAACUACAGUGAUUAGUAUACACAGAACAAAUGUGGCUGGGAUGUUAAAGGAGCCGAGAGUAGGCUAAAAUUACUUGGUAUUUAAAGAGAGAUAAUUUUUAAAUAAUUAUUAUGUUAAAAUAGCCAUAUAGAUCUUAGACAAAGAUCCUGUUAACUUGCAUGUAACAGAAGAAAAUAGAGGAAAAAUUAUUUUAUAAGCUAUGGAUUUUUUCCCCUUACUUAAGUAAUGCUAAAGAUAAUGCCGUUAGGUAUAAACUCUCUAAAUGCAACAUUUGUGUCUUGUCCUGGUGCUCAUUCACCACGUCUGGGUCAGUCCAUUACUAUAAUUAAGUUUCUGCUUAAUCAAUUUUAUUUCUCUACUUAAUAAAAAGAGGCAAUUUUUCUAGAUGUUCUGUUUUUCCAAUUAUAUAACCACUGAGAAAUCAAUUGCUUAACAAAAGUUAAAGUAAUAUGAUUUGAACAUGAAUUACUCUCUAACAGAAGGACAUAAUGAGCCAGAUGAAAAAUAAGAACCUGUCUCCCCAUCCCUCCAAAUAAAUAAAUAAAUAAAUCUCAGCAAAGGCAAAGCUUAAGAUCUUUUGGAUUUGUCAAACAUUUCAUAGAUCUUCCAAAACAUUUUGGCAGAAUAAUUCCCUAAAGUGAUUCAUUAUCCAUCAAUUCAUAUUUCAAUGUCACUUAAUAUUUGUUGAAUAUUCACAACAUGUUAGCAUUGCACAGCUGCUGAGAACAAGCUACUCUGUCUCUCAACCUCACACUGCAUGUUUUUUAAAGAUGAAAAAAAUAACAUAUUUUAAAGUUUCUCAAGAGGGUAGGAAAACAAUAGUCUGAAAACAAAUCAGCACACACAUUCUUCAAGAAUUAAUUUUGAUAUCCUUAUUAGGAAGAUGAUCAUUGGCUCCGAAGGCACAAAAAUAUGCCUCAUUUCCAUUUAUAUAUAUUAUAUAGUCC